GCAUGCUUGUAGAGGCUAUUAAACUGCUCGGGAAAGAGUCAGUGCAUUCCAUUUCCCUCGUGAUGAAGAUGCAUGGAGAGAAUGGAUAAGAGCAGUUCACCGUGAUAAUUUCAUCCCUUCAGAUCACUCUGUGAUUUGUGAGCUGCAUUUCCAUGCACACGAAAUAGAAAGAAGUACAUCGUCAUAUGAUGCUAAGACUGGAAGAUUAAUUACACGCCUCUUGAUCGUCCACGUUUAAGGAAAGGUGCAAUACCAGCACUAUUGCCAGCAUGUCCUGAUUAUUUAUCUACACCAUAAGAAGGCAAUAUCUUUCUUUUCGUUGAAGGUAUUAUGUGAUAAAAUUAAUAGUAGUCAUUUGAAUGAGUGGACCUGUGUCAAAAAGUUGAAUGGUGUGUAUUUUCUUUUAAUUAGUGAAAUGCCAUUUUUGAGAGUUCUGUGGUAUGUUACAAUUAACGCAAGUCUCACUUUCACUGUCCAUGUCAAUGAUUAACAGCUUGGUCAAAUAGGGAACAUAAAGUUUCUAGUAACCAUAAGUACCAAAACACAGUUAGCUAAUAUUCUUAAUAUUGUCGAGUUAAAAUUUAGCAACAGAGAAGAUCAGGAACCUAAUGAGAGUAUUGAUUUCAUAACCACUAUUUUGAAUAAUUUAUCUGAAAACUUGCCAGAUAAACAUGAAAUUAUAAACGUUAUGGAAGAACAGAUUCCAUUGCUAAAAUGCAAGAAGAAAAUUGCAAGAUAUUCGUGGGAUAUUUUAGUUUUGUGGUCAUUAGUUCAUUCUAUUUCUCCUCAGUGUUACAAGUUUUUAAGAAGCAGUGGUAUAAUAACUAUGUCUAGCCCUGCUACUCUGACUAGAAUAUGUGGUGGAUUUGCUAGUAAUACUGCUCUUGAACAAGUUCCUGCACAUUUUCUGGGAUACAUAACUAGGACAGUAAUAUUUUUAACUGAAGAAGACCGGGCGGUCUCCUCUCGAUGCAUGAAAUCCAUUUAAAGUCACAAAUGGGCUACAAAGGGGGAAACGUAGUUGGCCAGGCCUACAAUAGUAGUGAAUUUGCAUCCGUAGCCUACGUAUUCGUGGUGCGUGGUUUGGAUACACAGUACACCGAUGUAGCUCAUAUUCUGCCGGUCAAAGUCUUGCAGGCUCCUGCUCUUUUCACCUUCCUUAAAGAUAUUGUAUUGAAGUUAGAAAACAUAGAGUUUGAAGUUGUUGGUAUUGUAUCUCAUAAUAAUAACAUUAAUAAGAAAGCUGUAUCUUACUUCAGUGAUCCAUCCGAACUUCGACACUCUUCUCCAGGUGCUGGAAGUAGGCUAUUUUAUUUUCUUAUCGAUAGUGUGCACCUAUCAAAAUGCAUAAGAAACAACUGGCUGAAUCAGAAAGAAGAGAUUAUAGAGCUUCCGGAUUUUAAUUAUGAGCCCGGGUGAUGGUUUUGCGUCUUUCAACAGCUUGAAAUCUCUUCAUUUGCUGUAAAAGGCAAAUUUAUUGACAUUUGCAAACAAGCUAUGUCUUAAAUCACUGUAUCCCUGAACCAUAGAAAGGCAGAAUGUAAAACUUGCUCUUCAUAUUUUUGACCAUACAACAGCUAUUGCUCUGAGAGAAUUAGGCUCUAAACACAAUACUGAAUACUGCAACUUUCAUUGAGAUCAUUUGCAAGUGGUGGAUGCAGUUAAUGUAAAAACAUUAUUAAAAGGUCAAAGGUUAUUAAAUAGGAUUCAGCAGCCAAUAACCAGGAAUUCUAAGCACAUACUGGAGUUCCUACUUCAGUUUGCAAAUUGGUUAAUAAAGGAAAAUUCUCAGGGUUUAAUUGGUCUUAGCAGAUAAACACAUUUAGCUCUUAGGCAUACCACUCUCACAUUGGUGGAUCUGGCUAGGUAUUGCGACAAUGAGAAAAAGAGGCAAUACUUUCUAACAGGCAAGGUUCAAACUGAUGACCUGGAAAGCAGGUUUGGUAAAUUUUGUCACAUGAGUGGUGGUAAUUACCAUGUGUCAAUUAGACAGAUUUUUGAGACAGAAAGACUCUGAGGGUAUGAAGCUAUGUAUCAUUAAUAUUAAAGUCCCAAAAAUGGGUGGUGUUGUAAUUGCCAAGGAUGACAUUUUUUCUACUGAGACAGAUAUAAAUGACCUCCCAGGAGUGACAUAUAAUGAAGAGUUAAAUGUAGUUGUGGAAGAUGUUGAUAUACAGGAAUUGGAUGAGUAUGUGUGGCCUGUACUCCACUACAUAAGUCGUUACUGCUCAUAUGCAGUCAUUAAGAAACUUAAAUGUGAUUAUUUAUUUUAUUUAUUUGCCUGUAGACAACU